AGCCAUCCAUUUUAUUUCAUUUAUCGCUUUAGAAUAUUGGGAGCUUGUCACUGUGUUCCCAUGUGUAACUCAAACUCACAAAAAUAGUCUAUUUGAAAAUCAAACUUUUUAUUCCUCUAUUUUUAUAUUUAUUGCAAUUUUGAUAAUUAAAUAAUCAAACUUCAAACUUUUUGGUCUUCGAUUAUCAAAGUCUAAUUUGAUAAUUAAACAAAUGAGGUCUAUUAUCAAAGUAUAGUUUGUUAAUGAGGUCUCCAAGAUACAUCAUCCAUAAUGCAGAAUUGAAGUUUGCAGAGAAUUGUACUUCAUCAGAUAAUGUAAACUCAAACAACCUUUAAGUUUCUACAAGCAAAUUUCUAAAGAGACAACUUUUCAACAUAACCCACUUUUGAGUGGUUGUAUCUUUGUCUCUCAAUUUUACCACUCACACUCCAACUCUCUAACAACCUAUUGGAUCACAAUAUUACUGAGUGUAUUGAGUGUAUUUUUGUAUAAGCUUCUCAAACUAGUUUUGAGUUUUUGUAUAAGCUUAGAUCCAGAACAACUUCCUUUGUAAAAGAAGAUGACUCAAAUCAAUACGUAACUAUUGAUUGAGUGACACCUCUUUAAGGCUAAGGUAGAGCAAGCUUGUAGGGCUUGGAGGUUUUGAUCUUGGUUCAGAUCAAAGAAGAUUUGUAUUUGAGAUCGGUAGUACCCAAAGAUCAUAGUGAAAACUCACAGGUGUGGGGACUGGACUAGCCCAACAUUUGGGUGAACUAGUAUAAUUUUUGUGUGUGAAUCUCUCUUACAUUUAACUUUUUAUUUACUGUAAACACACAUCACACAUACCACUUGAUUUACAUUUAAUUUGAACUCUCACGCAGUGAAGAACAUUCUCAGAACAAUCUGUUUUAUCAUUCACUAACGUUCAUCCAAGUAUACACUUGAGUUCAAUUUUGUAGGGUGCAGGAUUAAUUUUAAAAGGGUCACAAUUCAAACCCCCUUUCUUGUGACUAUUUAUUCCACUUCAAUUACAAGCGUUUUAGAAGAAUUUUUACUUAUUUCAUUGAGGAAUAAUGCACUAGUUUGAGAAUAUAUGCAAAGGAAGAAAGCAGCAGAAGCUUGGUAAAAAAAGAGGCAAAUUUACUGGUUUCACGCCUAGGGCGGAAUUGUUCGUGCUUGGGGCAAAAAUGGCAUAAAAAUUUGGCUAAGUUUCUGUUUUGCCACCUGGUGCGGAAAAGUUUUCCGCCUAGGGCGGAAUAUUUGCAGCCGGAUGCGAAAAAAUGCAGCUUGGGGCGAAAAUUGCAUUUUAUUGGCCUCGUCUAUAAAAGGGAGUUUGUGAUCUGAAAUUAGGGAUCGAAAAUUGACCACAUAAACAGCUUUUUGAGGAGAAUUGAGAGAUCUAGGAGCUUGGAGGCAAGGAUUGAAGUGUGGAAACACAUCAAGAUCAACUUGUAAUCAUGCUUUCUUUUACUCUUUUGAUUGUAAUUUCUCAUUUCACUAUGUGUAACUAAAUUUCCAUGAUUGGACCUUAGGAGAUUCUAAUUAUUAUUCCUCUUGAACAAUGUGAUACACAUUUGAUAUAAUCAUGCUUUCUUGAUUAUUCCUUGUGCUUAAUGCUUUGUAUGAAAUUGCAACUUAUAUGAUGAUUUCAAUGAUUUGUUUGCUAUGACGAUAGGAAUGAAUCAUCGAUUUAGGAAUAAUUGAUCAAUUAACUUUCCCUUAAAGACAUUUUGGAUUGUUAAUUGACAUUUAACGGAUUAAGGUUUUUAUUCCUCAAUUGAUCAUAGAUUAUCCUAAGACAUUAGGGAUUGAUGAUCAAGGGGGAGGAUUAUGUUACCAAGACAUUGGACAUAAUCAAUUGAGAUUUAAUCUAAUCAUGAAACUAAAUUAAGUAAUUUGUAAUCAUACAUGAAAUUACCAAGAAAAAUAGUAAUUAGAUGAACCAACAAGGAUCAAUCGCUUCUCUUCAUCAAUUUGAAUUCCAAGUCAUUUUUAAGUUUAUGAUAAAAAAUUUGAACCAAG
rnacentral:lncRNA from 1 species